UUUUUUUUUUUUUUUUUUUUUUUUUUUGGUAUUUCCCUAUCCACAUUGUAUUAAAUAAAAGAAGAAAAGAAACAGUUGAAUUGCUAGUAAGAAUCCUGGAGCAGUGCUAUCCUCUGCAAUGAUGAUAAUGCUCUAUAAUCUGUGCUGCUCAACACAGUAGCUCUAAGCCACAAGUGGUUAUUGAGCACUUGAAGUGUGGUUAGUGUGACUGAGAACUGAAUUUUAAUUUUAUGUCAUUUGAAGUAAAUAGCCACGUGUGACUUCUGGCCACUACAUUGGACAGUGCAGACAUAGAGUGGCUGCCUUUCAUAAACACACCUAUAGCUGUGCCCCUCCACGCUCCUCUUUUAUUAACAGUGUCCUGUUUUCAUUGAGGGCGGUCCCCUGCCUGCACUGCCUGCGGUCUUUUGGGGGCAGCUCACAAAGUUGCUCUACUCUUUUCCAGCCAAUGGGGUGGGCCCAGAACCCGAACUCAGUCAACCAGACUCUCCAGGAAUCUGACUGUGGCUCCAGUGUCGCAAGAAAAUGAGUUGGAGCAGAUUAAUACCAAUGUUGAUUCCCUAAGACACUGCGUAUUAGUUUCCAGAACAUUAAUCCCUGGUGUGACAAUAAUAAGUGAGAUAUGAUGUGACCUAGGCAUCAUUACCAUCAUCAUCCCUGUCAUCAUCCAAGUACCUCAUCAGUACCUAUCAGUCCUGACAUGCCAGCUCCUAAACUAGAUACUUAAGCUGCCUAGCUUCCCCCUGCAUCAUUUCUCUGUCUCUAAAAUGGAAAUAAACUCAUCCAAAUUUCUUCCAGAGUCUUUGUAAAGGCAGCAAAAGAAAUAUUAGUCAUAAGAGCUUUGAGCCAAAUGAGGGAGUAACCAAAUUGUCAUUAGAGGUGUUGUUUCCUGGGAUAGGUAUGGGGACCUGUGGGAGGGUCUGAAGCAAGACCCAAGAUCUGGGCCCAGUUCACAAGCUGUGUGACCCUAGGCAAGAUACUUGUCCUUUCCUUUCUCAGCUUUCUGCUAAAAUGAAAUUAAGACAUAUCCCUCUCUAGUUUCACCACUUUCUCAUCUAUUUACACACCCCUCCCACCUUGCCUGACACCUGUCCCCUCCUCUUUCUACAAAUAUGUCCCAGAAAAUCCUCUAGGCUAGAUCAUGCUGGCCUUGUACCGAAUUCAUUUCUUCUUUCCCCAGCAACCCACUUAACUGGCAAGUUGCCCCGGGUAUGUACUCUCAUAGCUUCCUAGACUAAGCCUCUGACAAAGCACUUUACUAGAAUCAUGUUUAACCAUCUCCUCCAGUAGUAGACCAUAAGCCUUGCCAGGGCAAGGCUCACAUUCCUCUUGUCCACCAUUGAAUCCCCAGUGCCUAGUACAGAGCCGGGCACACAGAAGGUGCUCAGUAACUACUUCCUGGUGGAAUGUUUUAAUAAAUACUCCAAAUCCAUUUUAUUAUUUGUCAUUUCAGGAAGUAUCAUUUCACAGGAUUAAUCAUCGAACGCUGCCUAACAAAGUACCCCAAAACUUACUGGCUUAAAACAACAACGAUUGCUUCUUAUCUCUCAAUCUCUGUGGGAGAGAAACUCUGACAGGGCACAGUGAGGUUAGCUUGUCUCUGCCCCACGUCUAGGACCCCGGCUGGAAGACUCAAAGUUGGUGGUGGAGUAAAAUCAGUUCACCACCUAUCUGAUGAGUGAUGUU
rnacentral:lncRNA from 1 species